UGUUGGUUAAUCUCGUAGAUAUCCAAGGUUGCUUUUAGGUUACCAUUAACAAAUGUGCAUAGAACUUCUAUAACUUAGCGAGAUUACAGAAACGUUUCACUUGGAGAAGCCAUGGCAGGUAUUCGAUGCAUCUCGAGUACUAUGGUCCAAGCAGAAACCCACAAGGCAUGGACUCAGAGGGUUGAGUUAACUCCAUGGGAUCUUAACCUUUUUGCAGUGGGCCCUGUCCAGAAGGGACUUCUUUUUCCCAGGCCAAAACCUUCCCCAGAGAAGGAAAUUGAAAACACCUUGAUACAACACUUAAAAGCUUCUCUUGCCCACACUCUAGACUAUUUUCCACCCCUGGCAGGUCGCCUAGCUACCAAUGAACAUGACGAUGACACCAUUUCCUUUUGUAUUGAUUGUAAUAAUGCUGGAGCCUUGUUUAUCCAUGCUGAAGCCGAUGGAGUAACGAUUUCUGACAUUGUUAAACCUGUUUAUGUUCCUUCAAUUGUUCAUUCCUUUUUCCCACUUAAUGGGGUUAAGAACUAUGAGGGCUUUUCUAACCCAUUACUUGGAGUGCAGGUGACAGAGCUUAUGGAUGGUGUUUUUGUUGGUUGUACCAUCAAUCAUUCUGUGGUCGAUGGUUCAUCGUUUUGGCAUUUCUUUAAUUCAUGGUCAGAAAUUUCAAGAGGUUCGAUUCACUUAUCUAAACUCCCUGUUUUUCAACGUUCGUUUCUUCACAGUAUCAAUUAUCCUAUUCGGAUCCCUCGAUCUUAUGCUGAGCAAUUCCAUGAAGAGUUUAUUCUACCUCCUAAUUUGAAAGAAAGGGUUUUCCAUUUCACAAAGCAAAGCAUUGCAAAACUCAAAGAAAGAGCCAACGCUGAAGUUGGGACAAACAGCAUCUCCUCUCUUCAAGCACUCUUAUCUCAUAUUUGGCGAUCUGUUAUCCGCAACAAAAAUUUAGACCCCAAUGAAGAGAUGAUUUUCUACAUGCUAAUUGGUGCCAGGGCAAGAUUGCGCGACCUGCCUAAACAGUAUUUCGGAAAUGCAGUGAAGAGUGAAAGUGUGAAAAUGAAAGCAAAGGAGCUGCAAGAAAAAGGAGUAGGUGAUAUCGCGUGGCAAAUGAACAGGAUGAUCGCUACACAAACUGAAGAAGAGUUCAAAAAGGUCCUGGAGUCAUGGAUAGCAAGCCCUAAGGUCAUAAAAAUGGCCAUGAUGAGUAGCAACGUUCUAAUCGCAAGUAGUUCUCCUCGGUUCAACAUGUAUGGUAAUGAUUUUGGAUGGGGUAAGCCAAUUGCAGCAAGAAGCGGGCCCGCAAAUAAGUUUGAUGGGAAGCUUACGUUGUUCCCUGGAGCAGAAGAAGGAAGUAUUGAUAUUGAAGCAUGCAUUUUGUCUGAGACCUUGCAUGUCAUGGCAAAUGAUCAAGAAUUCAUGGAUACUGUUACCAUUGAAUUAAUUGGUUGAAAGUAGAAGAGGACUGUCGGAGAACUAUUCAACUUAACCGCAAUUCUGUCAAGGUGAUCGAGAUUUUUGUUGAUAGCUCAUGUUUUUUAAUUUUGAAUGUCCAUGUUUGUAAUAGUCAUGAAUUUUGUAAGCCCUUUUUGGUGAGGAAAUGUGGUUAGCGGAUUUGCGGUAGAGUGGGAGAAAGGGAGAGCCUUUGGUGUUUUGUGUGGCUCAAUUUGUUCGAAGUGUUGAGUUUUCUGAUACCAUCAACUAAGGUUGAAAUUUUUAAUUUUUUAUUUAGAGAUUGUUUGUGGAAUGUAUGGUAAAAAUUAAUAUAAAUAAAUAAUGAGUGUUUGUGCAUAAAGAUGAAUAGAAAAUAAUUUAAUCCAAUAUUUCAUUCAUAAUUAUUUUUUUAACGCUCCCCUGCCUGCCUUCAACGAGGAUCAACAGCAAUUUCUUUUAUCUCUCUCUUCCUCCAUACAUACGUUGGGUAUGCAUGCAUUUGUGUAUUUGAAGCAUCUAUCAAUAUAUAUUAAAUCAUUUUGAUCUUAUUGCAAAGUUAGCUCUUUCUUUCCAUUGUAUAUUUAAUAUUCUGUUUAUUUGCAUUUUAAACGUUCUACUAGAAGUGCUUAUUCUUUGAGUAUUCAUGAUAUAUAAUUGCAUUCAGCUCAGAGUCUUUAUUCAUGAUGAGAUUUUGUUGUGAAUUCAAUAUCUUAUAUUUUAUAAAAUUUAAAUUUAUUAUAAAUUAGCAUUGACAACAACAUGUUAUGUCUGAACAAUAGACUCAUAUUAUAUCUCAUAAUCUCUAAAAUUAUCUGUAUUUUUUUUUCAUCAGUUUUUCU